GCUAGGCAUGGUGGCGCAUGCCUGUAGUCCUAGCUACUCGGGAGGCUGAAGCAGGAGGAUUGCUUGAGCCCAAGAGGUCAAGGCUGCAGUGAGCCAUGAUGGCGCCACUGCACUCCAGCCUGGGCAACAGAGUGAGACUCUGUCUCAA
rnacentral:SRP_RNA from 1 species